UACGUAGGGUGCGAGCGUUGUCCGGAAUUAUUGGGCGUAAAGGGCUCGUAGGCGGUUUGUCGCGUCGGGAGUGAAAACUCAGGGCUUAACCCUGAGCCUGCUUCCGAUACGGGCAGACUAGAGGUAUGCAGGGGAGAACGGAAUUCCUGGUGUAGCGGUGAAAUGCGCAGAUAGUCAGGAGGAACACCGGUGGCGAAGGCGGUUCUCUGGGCAUUACCUGACGCUGAGGAGCGAAAGUGUGGGGAGCGAACAGG
rnacentral:rRNA from 1 species